GAAAUGUGCUCUGCCAAUCUUGGAGACGAGAUAACCAAUGAUGACUGUGUGGAACAAGACAUGAAGAGUGACUCAGAAAACGAACAUAUUGAAAAUCUUCAGACUGAACAAAUACCUAUGAAGUCAGAAGAGACACAAUUUGGAAAUGAAAUUGGGACACAUCCACAGGAAGUCCCAAUAAGGACUGAAGUAUAUCAAGGAAAUGACAUGACGACUUGCAGCUGGAGAAUCAAAGUCCUUGAACAAGAAUUGGAAAGAACAAUCGAUUACUUUCAAA